AAAGUGGCACUUUUUCUUCCAAGGGACUAUAGGUUUCACACAGUGUUGGAUGCCUCCAUGCCAUUGAGAUUUAGAAUACCUGAUGUGGAAGAAAGAGUCUUCUUUUUCAGAAAGCUAUUAGAUCUGCCAGAAUCUGUCAAACUUCAGAGUUACAGCUUUAGCGUCUCUGCUUACUAUAAACAUACCAUGGCUUACAGUUCACGAAUAAGAAUCUAAUUUCUCCCAUCACAUCCGAACAGCCACAAGAACACAUUGUGAGUAGCUGUCAGCUUAAGAAGAAAGAAUCAUGCCCUGCCCCCUCUGGACCACAGCACUGGGUC
rnacentral:lncRNA from 1 species